rnacentral:lncRNA from 1 species
GAAAACUGAUAGUCAAAGCUCAACGGUCUAGAAAUCGUCUAUACAAAGUCACCAUUGAAAGCAACCAACAGUGCCUUCAGGUAUCAGUUGGUAGCGACUCUGCAAGAUGGCACGCGCGUUUGGGUCACAUAGGGAGAGAAGCAAUGCGAGUGAUGAUGAAAAAAGAGCUAGUAUACGGACUACCAAAGCUCGUGAUCGAGAAAGAGACAUGUUCUUCUUGCUUACUUGGGAAGCAAGCAAGACAAGCCUUCCCACAAGCUACUACGUAUCGAGCUGAGAAGACACUAGGUCUCAUACAUGGAGACCUUUGCGGACCCAUCACGCCACCAACACCAUCACAGAAGAGGUACAUUUUUGUUCUCAUAGAUGAUCACUCUAGAUACAUGUGGACUAUCUUGUUAAAAGAGAAGGGAGAAGCCUUCGACAAAUUCAAGAAAUUCAGAGCCAUUGUUGAGCAAGAAACCGGGGCUGUUAUCAAAACACUCAGGACAGACAGAGGAGGUGAAUUUGUAUCAAACGAAUUCAGAGAAUUUUGUGAGUCGAAAGGGAUAACAAGACAUCUAACAGCUCCCUAUACUCCCCAACAGAAUGGGGUAGUAGAAAGACGAAACAGAACGUUACUUGACAUGACCAGAAGUAUCUUGAGACACACAGAGCUACCAAACUACCUUUGGGGCGAAGCGGUAAGACACGCUACUUACCUAAUAAACAGAGCUGCAACUCGUGUCAUUAAGGCAAAGACGCCAUAUGAGCUGUUCAAAGGACGAAAGCCGAACAUAGAACAUCUGCGCGUUUUUGGAUGUAUUGGAUUUGCCAAGAUAGAGUCGCAGCAUCUCAGGAAACUAGACAACAGAUCCCGAAUGCUGGUUCACCUAGGGACUGAGCCAGGAUCGAAAGCUUACAGGCUACUUGAUCCAACAAAUAAGAAGGUGGUGGUGAGUAGGGACGUGAUAUUUGACGAAACUAGAAGUUGGGAUUGGAAGACAGGUAACAAGGAUGAAGGAACAGGAACAUUCCGCAUCGCUAUUGGUCAGUAUGGGAAUCAUGGCGUAGAUGAAACUGAUACACCUAAGGAUAUUGAAGAAACUGUAACUGAACCUCCAGAUAGUGGUACACUGAGCCAAGAAGAAGAAGAAGAAGAAGUACUUGAUGAGGUCGAACCAGAGCUGAGGAGAUCGCAAAGAGAACGUCGAGCACCAAGCUACUUGGACGACUACAUUUUAUUGGCUGAGAUAGAAGGAGAGCGUCUAUUACUAAGUUUAAACGAUGAGCCGUGGAGUUAUGAUGAAGCUAAAGAAAAGAAAGUAUGGAGAGAUGCAUGUGAAGAUGAAAUCAAGUCCAUUGUUAAGAACAAAACAUGGGAGUUAGCUGAGCUUCCAAUAGGGGCAAAACCAAUCGGUCUUAAAUGGAUCUUUAAGGUUAAACGCAACUCAGAUGGGAGCGUCAACAAGUUCAAAGCGAGGUUAGUAGCAAAAGGCUACAUACAGAGACACGGCAUUGACUUUGAUGAAGUGUUUGCGCCUGUAGCACGCAUUGAAACAGUCCGAUUCCUACUUGCUCUUGCGGCAUCUAGAGGAUGGCAAGUACAUCACCUAGACGUCAAAACCGCGUUCUUGCACGGAGACCUAAAAGAAGAAGUAUAUGUCUUACAGCCUGAAGGUUUUGAAGUCAAAGGGCAAGAGAGCAAGGUAUACAAGCUAAGAAAGGCACUCUACGGUUUGCGACAGGCUCCAAGAGCAUGGAAUGAGAAGUUAAACAAGGUACUAGGAGAUCUUAAGUUCGUGAAGUGUACAAAGGAGCCAGCAGUGUAUCGACGCCAAGAGAAAGAGCACGUACUGCUCAUAGCGGUCUAUGUUGAUGACCUCCUCGUGACUGGUUCGAGUAUUGAGAUGAUUGACGAGUUUAAAAAGGGAAUGUCUGAGAGGUUCGAGAUGAGUGAUUUGGGAACUUUAACCUAUUAUCUAGGGAUCGAGGUUGAUCAAAACGACGAAGGUAUUACGUUAAAGCAAGAACGUUAUGCCAUGAAAAUAUUGGAGGAAGGUGGAAUGCGUGACUGCAAUGCUGUUCACAUACCUAUAGAUCCGAGUUUAAAAUUGUCUAAAGCACAAGAUGAGCGAAGCGUGGAUGAGAAGGAAUAUAGAAGGAGCAUCGGAUGUCUUAGAUAUUUGUUGCAUACUCGACCUGAUCUAUCGUUCGCGGUAGGAGUCAUGAGCCGAUAUAUGCAGCAUCCAAAGACCUCUCAUGCCGCAGCAAUAAAACAGAUACUGAGAUACUUGCAAGGCACGCUUAGCUUCGGACUAGUGUUCAGACGUGCAGCAGAAACAAAGUUGAUAGGUUACAGUGAUGCAAGUCAUAAUGUAGAUGAAGACGAUGGCCGAAGCACCACAGGGCACGUUUUCUAUUUCGGAGAAUCACCUAUAACCUGGUGUUCUCAGAAACAAGAAACAGUUGCUCUCUCGUCUUGUGAAGCAGAGUUUAUGGCAGCGACUGAGGCGGCCAAGCAGGCUAUCUGGUUGCAAGAACUGCUUGCUGAGAUCGUAGGAAAGGAAAGCGAGAAAGUGGUGGUUCUGAUUGACAAUAAGUCUGCAAUAGCUUUGACGAAAAACCCGGUGUUCCAUGGGCGUAGCAAACAUAUACAUCGGCGCUAUCAUUUCAUUCGUGAGUGUGUUGAUAGCAGUCUGAUCGAGGUCCAUCAUGUACCAGGAAGUAAACAACGCGCUGACAUUCUAACGAAAGGACUUGCAAGAAUUCGAUACAAGGAAAUGAGACAGAUGAUUGGAGUUGAAGAUUUGUCUAAAGGAGACUUCAAGCUUAAGAGGGAGAUUGUUGGGAUAAGCUUGAAAUAGCUUGGAAAUCAAGCUAUCCUAAUCCUAUAUUGUUUGUGUUUAUCUAUAAGGAUUAGGAAAAUAUAAAACCUAUUGAGUUUUGGAGUUAUCUAUUGAUAUAUAAGGAGUUGCAGACUUGUUGCAACACUUAAGCGUUUUGGUGAUUGUUUGAGUUGACUUGAGUUUUGAGGAAUUUUCUCAAGUGAUUAAUAAGAGAGCAAGUUCUUGUUAAUUGUGUUCUUACAAUCAAAUACGUGAAACUUAGAAACUAUAUUUGGUAUCAGAGCUUCUAGGAAACGAUCGCACUAGCUAUGGGAGAUCUAGUUACUACGAAAGUUAAAGGAGGAGGUGGACCUACCACCAUAAGCUGUCCCAUGCUAUCAUCGACAAAUUACACUGUCUGGUCAAUACGGAUUAAGGUGCUACUGAAGAUACACAAGGUCUGGGACGUCAUUGAGGUCGAAUCUGAUAAUGGGGAAAAGAACGACAUGGCCACUGCUCUACUGUUUCAGUCAAUACCCGAGUCACUGAUUCUCCAAGUAGGAGAGUUAGACACAGCCAAGAAAGUAUGGGAUGCGAUUAAAGCAAGACAUAUGGGGGCAGAUCGAGUUCGAGAAGCAAGACUACAAACUCUAAUGGCUGAGUUCGACAGAUUAAAGAUGAAAGACAGUGAUACAAUCGAUGACUUUGUGGGGAAGUUAUCCGAAAUAUCAUCGAAGUCAGCUGCUUUGGGAGAAGUUAUUGAAGAAACAAAACUAGUAAAAAAGUUUCUGUCUAGUCUGCCACGACGCAAAUAUAUACACAUUGUGGCAUCAUUAGAACAGGUACUUGAUCUCAAGACGACAAGCUUCGAAGACAUUAUCGGACGGUUAAAAACCUAUGAGGAAAGAGUUGCAGAAGAGGAAGAAGAGACGCAGGAUAAACUCAUGUACGCAGCAAACUCUGAAUCUCAACCGGCUUCAAAUUCUUCAAACCGAGACUACAACAGUAACUAUAGGGGUCGAGGACGAGGAGGCCGAUUCUAUAACAGAGGACGAGGCAGAGGAAGGUAUAAUGAUCGAUACCAAGACAACUUUGAUAUGGCAAAGAUCAUGUGUUUCAGGUGCGACAAGAUGGGACAUUUUGCUUCUGUAUGUCCUGACCGUCUACUCAAACUACAAGAGGCAACAGAAACAAAGGACAAAGACGCUGACACAACGGAGGCUGAAGAACUGAUGGUUCAUGAGAUCGUUUACCUAAACGAAAAGAAGGUAAACCCGCUGAACUUUGAGACAAGUUCAGACAACGACAGAGUGUGGUAUCUAGACAAUGGGGCGAGCAACCACAUGACUGGAAAUCGAAGGUACUUCAAGACACUUGAUGAAACUAUUACUGGUAAAGUAAGGUUCGGUGAUGACUCUCGUAUCGACAUAAAGGGAAAGGGACCAAUACUGUUUCACACAAAGGACGGAGGAAAGAAAAUACUAACUGACGUUUACUACAUACCGGACUUGAAGAGCAAUAUAAUUAGUCUUGGUCAAGCCACAGAGUCCGGUUGCGACAUCAGGAUGAAAGAUGAGUUUCUUACGCUGCGAGACAAAGACGGAAAACUGAUAGUCAAAGCUCAACGGUCUAGAAAUCGUCUAUACAAAGUCACCAUUGAAAGCAACCAACAGUGCCUUCAGGUAUCAGUUGGUAGCGACUCUGCAAGAUGGCACGCGCGUUUGGGUCACAUAGGGAGAGAAGCAAUGCGAGUGAUGAUGAAAAAAGAGCUAGUAUACGGACUACCAAAGCUCGUGAUCGAG